UCAUUAUUUAAGUGAUACUGCACUGUUAAGCUCCUUCAGAAAUUGCCAUGCCAACCAACGUCUGGUCCUCAGAUCCUUAUCUCCUGACAAAGGAUUCUGAACCUCAAAUAGAACUGCAGAUGGAAAUGGACCAUGAGGGCCCAUUUCUCUCUACCACAUCAGAAGUGCUUGCUGCUUCCCUUCUGGAGUCACAGUUGUAUGUGCAGAGUUGCUUUUAAACACAGAUGCCGGAUGCUUUGGAAGUGAUGGAUUGAGGUGCACACAUAAUGACCUGUUCCAGUCAGAAACUGAGAGCCUCAGAAGGAUUUGCC